UACGUAGGGUGCAAGCGUUGUCCGGAAUCACUGGGCGUAAAGGGCGCGUAGGCGGCUCGGUAAGUAGGGGGUGAAAUCCUGCGGCUUAACCGCAGGGCUGCCUUCUAAACUGUCGAGCUCGAGCACGGUAGAGGCAGAUGGAAUUCCCGGUGUAGCGGUGGAAUGCGUAGAGAUCGGGAAGAACAUCAGUGGCGAAGGCGGUCUGCUGGGCCGUUGCUGACGCUGAGGCGCGACAGCGUGGGGAGCAAACGGG
rnacentral:rRNA from 1 species